GGCCUGCAUUCAGAUGGGUGGAAGGGCCAACGGCAGCGGCGGAAUUCCGAGGGCCGCGGGGAUCGACCGCCGGGCUGGGACGCGGAGUGAUCAAAGGGCCAGCUCAGGGGAACCUGAUGCAACCCUUCCCCAGACCACCCAUGCAGAGGCAACGGGCCACAGAAUGGAUGCCUAGGAGAGAGGAGCUCAAACUGGAAUACGGAGGGGAAUCAUCCGAACUGAACUUUUUCCUCAUUGGCAUCAGAGGAUACAUGGAGGACAAUGCACACACAUUCCCCUCCGAAGGAAGCAUGGUUCGGGCCAUUGGUAAUACCCUAAAAAGGGGAGCGGCUAGCUGGUAUGUGCAAUUACAUGCCAGACGCGACCCGUGCUUGAGGUCAGUGCCCCAAUUUCUAGCCGCACUGGAGAACCGAUUUAGAGACCCGCUGGAGCAAUUGAGGGCUCGCGACCAACUAAAAGGAAUUAAGCAGAGGGACAAGACGGUACCCGAGUACGCAGAAGAAUUCCUCCAUCUCGCGGAAAGGGUACCAGAGUGGUCCGAAGUGACCAAAGUGGAGAUAUUCAAAGAAGGACUGUGCCCCGAGGUAUUCAGUUGGGCGGCGCAUAGAGAUGACCCAGAGACGCUACAGGGUUGGAUUCAACUAGCAGGGCGCGUCGAAUCCACCCUGUCCCAAGUAAAGCGCUUCCGGAGCGGCGGCGGCAGCGGCCAGCAGAGACCGGCAGCGAGGGGUCGGGGAGAAACGAGGAAGCAGGAGCGACCCGGAGGGAGGCCAGGGAUCCCCUUCAAAGGAGACGACAACAGACCUAAGCCGGGAUGCUUUGUAUGUGGAAAGACGGGCCAUCGGGCGGCGGAAUGUUGGGCCCGGAAGGGAGAACCGCCCAAAGCCACAAAACCCACGCCAGCAGCCGGGAGACGAGCGGAGGAGGAGGUGCGAGCCCCAGAACCUCCGGAGCGGCUGAGUCGUGACGGAGGAAGCACAGAAGAAGAGGUCGGCGAAAGGGGGGGCGCCAUGUCAUGGGGCCAAUUCCCAGGGCUGAGUCUGCAAGCCCUGGAAUUGGAGCCAUAA
rnacentral:lncRNA from 1 species